rnacentral:rRNA from 1 species
CCUACGGGCGGCUGCAGUGGGGAAUAUUGCACAAUGGGCGCAAGCCUGAUGCAGCCAUGCCGCGUGUGUGAAGAAGGCCUUCGGGUUGUAGAGCACUUUCAGCGGGGAGGAAGGCGGUGAGGUUAAUAACCUCAUCGAUUGACGUUACCCGCAGAAGAAGCACCGGCUAACUCCGUGCCAGCAGCCGCGGUAAUACGGAGGGUGCAAGCGUUAAUCGGAAUUACUGGGCGUAAAGCGCACGCAGGCGGUCUGUCAAGUCGGAUGUGAAAUCCCCGGGCUCAACCUGGGAACUGCAUUCGAAACUGGCAGGCUAGAGUCUUGUAGAGGGGGGUAGAAUUCCAGGUGUAGCGGUGAAAUGCGUAGAGGUCUGGAGGAAUACCGGUGGCGAAGGCGGCCCCCUGGACAAAGACUGACGCUCAGGUGCGAAAGCGUGGGGAGCAAACAGGAUUAGAUACCCGGGUAGUC